rnacentral:rRNA from 1 species
UCCGGUUGAUCCUGCCRGACCCGACUGCUAUCAGAGUGGGACUAAGCCAUGCGAGUCGACACAGCAAUGUGUGGCAUACGGCUCAGUAACACGUAGUCAACAUGCCCAGGGGACGUGGAUAACCUCGGGAAACUGAGGAUAAACCGCGAUAGGUCACUACUUCUGGAAUGGGUAAUGACCCAAACCUAUAUGGCCCCUGGAUUGGACUGCGGCCGAUCAGGCUGUUGGUGAGGUAAUGGCCCACCAAACCUGUAACCGGUACGGGCUCUGAGAGGAGGAGCCCGGAGAUGGGCACUGAGACAAGGGCCCAGGCCCUAUGGGGCGCAGCAGGCGCGAAACCUCUGCAAUAGGCGAAAGCUUGACAGGGUUACUCUGAGUGAUUUCCGUUAAGGAGAUCUUUUGGCACCUCUAAAAAUGGUGCAGAAUAAGGGGUGGGCAAGUCUGGUGUCAGCCGCCGCGGUAAUACCAGCACCCCGAGUGGUCGGGACGUUUAUUGGGCCUAAAGCAUCCGUAGCCGGUUCUACAGGUCUUCCGUUAAAUCCACCUGCUCAACAGAUGGGCUGCGGAAGAUACUAUGGAGCUAGGAGGCGGGAGAGGCAAGCGGUACUCGAUGGGUAGGGGUAAAAUCCGUUGAUCCAUUGAAGACCACCAGUGGCGAAGGCGGCUUGCCAGAACGCGCUCGACGGUGAGGGAUGAAAGCUGGGGGAGCAAACCGGAUUAGAUACCCGGGUAGUCCCAGCUGUAAACGAUGCAGACUCGGUGAUGGGUUGGCUUUAUGCCAACUCAGUGCCGCAGGGAAGCCGUUAAGUUUGCCGCCUGGGGAGUACGGUCGCAAGACUGAAACUUAAAGGAAUUGGCGGGGGAGCACCACAAGGGGUGAAGCCUGCGGUUCAAUUGGAKUCAACGCCGGRA